CACGUAGGGCGCGAGCGUUGUCCGGAAUUAUUGGGCGUAAAGAGCUCGUAGGCGGUCUGUCGCGUCUGCUGUGAAAACCUAGGGCUUAACUCUGGGCGUGCAGUGGGUACGGGCAGGCUAGAGUGCGGUAGGGGAGACUGGAAUUCCUGGUGUAGCGGUGAAAUGCGCAGAUAUCAGGAGGAACACCGGUGGCGAAGGCGGGUCUCUGGGCCGUAACUGACGCUGAGGAGCGAAAAGCAUGGGGGAGCGAACAGG
rnacentral:rRNA from 1 species